GGAGAAAUGACGAGAAAAAGUGCAUGUUUUACGAUUCCGAUUUGACCGAAUUUAAUCAAAAAUUAAACUGUUAGGACCAACAUUGUUUGAUAGAAAUAUGUUUGAAUAUAAAGGAUUGAUUUGCAAAAGUAAGAAAACGGAUCAGGUUUAUGAGAAAAUUAAACUUUAUUGAAGCAUAUAUGCAUUUUAUAUGGGGAAAUAUAAUACAAAAUGGCGGCUUUUAUACGUCACAAAAGUCACGUGAUGUCUAACUUAGUUGGAUAUG
rnacentral:lncRNA from 1 species